GAUGAACGCUGGCGGCGUGCUUAGCACAUGCAAGUCGAACGAGAAAUGUAGACGGAAACCUUCGGGCGGAAGCCUUCAUUUCGAGUGGCGGACGGGUGAGUAACGCGUGGGUAACCUGCCUCAUACAGGGGGAUAACAGUUGGAAACGACUGUUAAUACCGCAUAAGACCACAGCAUCGCAUGAUGCGGGGGUAAAAACUCCGGUGGUAUGAGAUGGACCCGCGUUCGAUUAGCCAGUUGGCGGGGUAACGGCCCACCAAAGCGACGAUCGAUAGCCGAUCUGAGAGGAUGACCGGCCACAUUGGGACUGAGACACGGCCCAAACUCCUACGGGAGGCAGCAGUGGGGAAUAUUGCACAAUGGGGGAAACCCUGAUGCAGCGACGCCGCGUGAGUGAAGAAGUACUUCGGUAUGUAAAGCUCUAUCAGCAGGGAAGAAAAUGACGGUACCUGAGUAAGAAGCCCCGGCUAACUACGUG
rnacentral:rRNA from 1 species